rnacentral:rRNA from 1 species
UAUCCUACGGGACGCAGCAGUGAGGAAUAUUGGUCAAUGGGCUUACGCCUGAACCAGCCAAGUCGCGUGAAGGAAGACUGCCCUAUGGGUUGUAAACCUCUUUUGUCAGGGAGCAACGCCGGCUACGUGUAGCCGGACUGAGAGUACCUGAAGAAAAAGAAUCGGCUAACUCCGUGCCAGCAGCCGCGGUAAUACGGAGGAUGCGAGCGUUAUCCGGAGUUAUUGGGUUUA